AUGACGUGCCCGGUGUGCUGUGCUGUGCUGUGAUGCUCGCGUGCUGCUGUGAUGCUGCUGUGGCUGCGGUACCUCAAACAGCUGGAGAUGGCGUGCGCCGGCCUCGCCCCGCCCGCGCCCUGCACCCCGCACCCGCCAGGCGGCGCCACCGCCACCAAAACAAUAAGUGAAGACGAGGAAUGGGGAAACGAGAGCGAGGCGAUGCCGGGAGAACCUCGCACGCCGAGCUCGGGCGGAGAGCGCGCGGCGUCCAGCGGGGACGCGUCACCGACCUCGGAGGGCUCGGCGACCAACUCGCCCCCGCGGCUGCGGCUCAACGCGAGCCUGGCGACCGACCCGGCCCUCGCGCCGCGCGCCACGUCGCUGUCGUCGCUGAAGCACGAGCCCCCCUCGCCGUCGCCGCCGCCCCCGCCGGCGCAGCCGAUCAACUACAUGCCUCUGACAGCGGCGAAUUUCCCGUCGCUAUUUCCGGCGGCGACGGCGCCCACCGGAUACACGUGUAAGCCGUGCGGAAUCCGAUACUCGUCGCUGAGUACCCUUCAAGCUCACCAGGAGCACUACUGCUCCAAAAGAAGAACGAAGCCAGACGGCACGGAGGCCCCGGUCGACGCCGCCGCCGACGAGUCGAGCGGAGACUCGAAGACGCCCAAGCCGCUCGGAAAACAAUACGCCUGUCCCUACUGCUCCUAUAGCGCCGACAAGAAGGUCAGCCUCAACAGGCACAUGCGCAUGCACUCGUCGUCCCCCGUGAGCACCGGCACGCCGGGGCCGACCCCCACGUCCAACGGCGACUCCGCCGACGGUCCCCCGGCGCAGGACCGGUACUGCGCAGAUUGUGAUAUACACUUCAGCUCGCUGCGAACUUUUCGCGCCCACAAGGACUACUACUGCAACACGAGGCAGGUGGUGAAGCAGGCGCUGGCGGCCGCGCGCGCGAGCUCGGCGACGUCCGGCUCCGCACCGCCCUCCCCGGGAGCCACUCCUCCCGCUCAAAAUCAACUAGCUCUAGCUCUUCCCACUAAUCCGAUUUUAAUAGUUCCGUAUUCGAUUCUCCGGAGCGCCAGCACGCUCCCCGGCACGACGCUUCCGGACCCGGAGACGCCCUGCUUCCUCCUCCCGAACGGAACGUUCCAGCCCAUUAGCAGGGCGCUGCCCAACAUCAACGCGGAGAACAAGGAGCCCGAGGUCCUGAAAUCUGCGAAUCGAUGCAGGGAGCCCCCUCGCGACGGAUCCACCCCUCUGGACCUGAGUGUUCGACGAACGCCCGAGUCGGGGACGCCGAACGACGAACACGAGAAGGAAAACAGGCUCCGGUCCGCCACGCCCGAGCAGAUCGUGUGCGCGCCGUCGCUGCCCGGCUCCCCGGGCACUCCUUCCCCGUCGCGGCGCUCCUCGUCGCCAGGCGGGGAGUCGUCGCCGAAAAGACGCCGACGGAACUCGAGGGACCCCACGCCGAAACCCCCGAGCGUGUCCCCCCACGAGGAGAAGUAUACCCCCUCGGUCACCCCGACCCUGCAGGGGGCGCUGGCGCUCCGGCUGGCCGCGGAGCUGCCGGCGGCGGCCCCGCAGGUGCUGGUCAAGCAGGGCGUGUCAAAGUGCAUAGAGUGCAACAUAGUGUUCUGCAAGUACGAGAACUACCGCGUCCACAAGAGAAACUACUGCUCGGCCGGGCGAGGCGAGGAGCGGGCGAGCCCCGCGCCGCCGGAGCCCGGACCGCCGCCGCAGUACCGGCAGCUGAUUUGCCUGGCGUGCGGCAUCCACUUCAGCUCGUUCGACAACCUGACGACGCACCAGUCGUACUACUGCACGAAGAGGGAGACCCGGUCGCCGCGCGCGGCGGAGGCGGCGCGGCCGGCGGCGGCGGCGGAGGGCGGCUGGAAGUGCCCGUGCUGCGAGGUGGUGUCGCCCACGGCGGCGGCGGCGCAGCGCCACAUGGAGGCGCACGCCGGCGUCAAGGCGUUCCGUUGCACCAUCUGCCAGUACCGCGGGAACACGCUGCGCGGCAUGCGAACGCACAUCCGCAUGCACUUCCGCGAGAAGCCCGCCGACCUGCAGGAGGAGAGCUACAUCUCUUGCGUGGUGGAGGAUUCCGGGGCAGAGGGCGAGGCUGCGGGGGCGGGGGCGGCGGGGGGCGAGCGCGUGCACCGCUGCGGCACGUGCGCGUACACGUCCACGUACCGCGGCAACGUGGUGCGGCACGCGCGCCUCGUGCACGCCGCCGACGACGACGACCGCGCCUCCCCCAGCCCCGCCCCCGCCCCCGCCCCUCCGCCGCCCGACAUCAAGCGGGAGCCGGACGCGGACGAGGACGCCCCCAACUACUGCAAGUCCUGCAACAUCUCCUUCAAGUACGUCAAGUCGUAUAAAGCCCACAAAGACUACUACUGCAACGCCGCACGGCAGGACGCCGCGGGAAACAACAACGUGGAGCCGCGCGACGCCGCGCCCGUCGUCUGAGCGACUCCUUCGCGUCCUAGCUUCUAGACUAAGAAUGUAUUCUCUCGUAUUCGAAAUUUAAAAGCGUGCAAUAUAAAAUUUAUUUCUACUAGGAAGUUCUGCAUAUCAGUACCGAAACGGAUUGGACAGAAAUCUCGGCCGGUAGAGGGCCUCGUUGUUAUGUAACUAGCUAUAGUUGACGUCUGAUAUCAUUAUUUAGUAUACGUUUUAAUACCAAAUUGUAAAUACUUGUAUAGAUACUUAUUGCAUUGUAAUUAAAGUUUAUUACCAUUCGUUCUAAGGUUUGUUCUUUCUUUGUUGUUAGCACGGGUGCGGCGUAGUUUGCCUCGUUUGGGCUGCGUUUUCACUGGUGCCGAGUUGAGCUGUGUUGCGAGGAAUGUGUUUUGUGAGAACCGAUAGAAUCGAUUUAUUAGCCUGACCUCGCUAGGCGCAGCGGUUCUAUUGGGUCUGAGUGGUCCUCGCAACGCAGCUUAGCUCAGCGUCGGUGGGAGGGCGGCUUUACUGGUUAGUAUCCAGUACUCAGUCUUGGCUCUCGAAAUGUUCUUCCUAGCCGCAGACGCACCGCGCCCGUGAUUGUUAGUUUUGUUUAUUGUACUUUUAAGUGAAUUUUAUGACCUUGCUAAGCAAUGCAUCGCAGGAACAUGCUCAUUCCAUAAUAUUGCUGGUAUCUUUAUACAGCCGCGCUACGAAGAGUUCAAGAGUCAUAUCUGUUAAAUAUAAUAAAGCAAAAAUUAUACUAACGAUAAUCAGAAAUUCAUUUCUCCAAUUUUUGUAAUAACUCUAGCACCUACUCGUGGCGCCAUCUAGUGAGGGUACAUGUCAAAGUUGCUUCUACUAGUCUUACGAAUCUAAAACUCUACGUAGCGUGGCAUAUUGAAACGUUAAAAAUGUUAAACAUAAUUAUUCAAGUAAUGUUAUGUCGGCAGUGCAAGAUUCUAUGUAACAUGGGUACACAGGGAGUGGUUGGCUAGAUUCUUUAUGUGACUAUGGAUGGCUGUGAUACACACGCGAGCGAUACAAUUAUUUUUUGACGAGCCAAGACUUUUUCUUAGAACCAAUAGGCUCUGAUUGAUCAUUUUUGACGUCAUUCCCUUCUUAACACGAAUAAACUUUAACGCUAAAUAUUUAUAACUUAAGUCUUUAUUGUGUAUUACAACCUUAUUAACGAAUUGAAUCUUACAAAGCCAAAUAGGCUUGGAGGAUAGAAACUUUAUUUGUACGUCAAUACGUCGGAUUUUGUAAACUCUUCUUGUUUCGUAUCAAUCGAUCCAAUGUAUCAUGUAUUUACAUUACAACAUUGAAACAACAAUAAAUAUUAUAAAUUUGCUAUCAUGAGUAAUAAGUAUCACAGUAAAAUAUCAGUGAUAUUAUAAUAAAUACUACAACUGUAACAUUUUUAAUUUUUUUAAAUACUUUGUCUCAUCUUU